AUUGAACGCUGGCGGCAGGCUUAACACAUGCAAGUCGAACGAGUGGCGGACGGGUGAGUAAUGCUUGGGAAUCUAGCUUAUGGAGGGGGCUAACUACGGGAAACUGUAGCUAAUACCGCGUACCAUAGGAUGAGCCCAAGUGGGAUUAGGUAGUUGGUGAGGUAACGGCUCACCUAGGCGACGAUGCCUAGCUGGUCUGAGAGGAGGACCAGCCACACUGGAACGGUGACAGGGUCCAGACUCCUACGGGAGGCAGCAGUGGGGAAUAUUGCACAAUGGGGGGAACCUGACGCAGCCAUGCCGCGUGAAGGAAGAAGGCCUUCGGGUUGUAAAGUUCUUUCGGUAGCGAGGCGUUAACUACAGAAGAAGCACCGGCUAACUCCGUGCCAGCAGCCGCGGUAAUUC
rnacentral:rRNA from 1 species